UGGUUUACAAAAAAAGGCUAAUUCCCAUUGGUCGCUGGCUGCUGUUGUAGCAGCGCUACCUGAAGCAGGUAGGCAAAUAAAGUCAGAACUGAGAAAGAGGAUCACACUGCUGCUCAUCACGAUGGGACUCACUCGCACGUUGGGACCAACUAAAAACGUUCAAGACCUUCAAACUAAAGGUUUAGGCCUUUUUAUUUUCAACAGAAAACAUAAUGUUUGUUGUUUGUUUAGCACCAAGUUGGAUCUAACACCAUGAACAAGGUAUGGAAGCGCUGCGGAGUCCAUUUUAUCUGCUCUGUGAAUUCUAUCCUUCAUUCCACCGGAGUCUGUGUAGUUGUCCAAUCAGAUUUCAGUGGUGUGAAGUGUAGGAGACAUGGAAAGAUCUCAUCAUCUCCCACAACCUUGGAAGGCCUGUACUGACAAAUAACAGCACAGAUACGUUGCGAAACACAUGUAAAGUAGCUUUAGAAAGCAUGCUUGACUGGUUUUCAGUUGUAGUAUAAUUUGCCAUGCGCUUCAAGCUUGCACGGAUUAACGCUGGACGUGAAUGCUAAACCCCGGCUGUCUUAUUAUGCAGUGAACGCUUUUAAGUUCAGCAUAUCUAAACAUCUAUGUAAAGCAACGCACCUCACCUUGCCCUUUAGCGAACCGUGCUAGCUCCACACAACAUGGCAUGUUUGUUCAUUUGCUGUUGUGGGGAGAGCCGAGGCGGGCUAAGUACACACACACCCACGCGCGCAAGAUUCACAAAGCCUGCCAAGAUGUAUUUAUGUAUGCUGGUUCAGCCUUUAUUUUCUCAACCCACACUAAUAAACUCACUUUACAAAAUGUGUUUGUGUGAAUUGCAUAAUCCUGACAAUAAACUACUGUAAUAAAACACAA